rnacentral:rRNA from 1 species
UCAAGUGACUAAGUGUAUGUGGUGGAUGCCUUGGCGAUCACAGGCGAAGAAGGACGUAGUAGCUUGCGAUAAGCUGCGGGGAGCCGGCAAACGGGCAUUGAUCCGCAGAUUUCCGAAUGGGGGAACCCACCGACGCAAGUCGGUAUCACACACUGAAUACAUAGGUGUGUGAGGCGAACGGAGCGAACUGAAACAUCUAAGUAGCUCCAGGAAAAGAAAUCAACCGAGAUUGCGAAAGUAGCGGCGAGCGAAAUCGCAGCAGCCCAGUGUUCUGAUAGCACGAACGACAGCAGAAAGGUCUGGAAAGGCCUGCUAUAGAGGGUGAUAGCCCCGUAUGCGAAAUCGAACGUGUGGUACUAAGGAACCGAUAAGUAGGGCGGGACACGUGACAUCCUGUCUGAAGAUGGGGGGACCAUCCUCCAAGGCUAAAUACUCGUGAUCGACCGAUAGUGAACCAGUACUGUGAAGGAAAGGCGAAAAGAACCCCGGGAGGGGAGUGAAAUAGAACCUGAAACCGCAUACAUACAAACAGUAGGAGCCCGUGUAGUCGGGUGACUGCGUACCUUUUGCAUAAUGGGUCAGCGACUUACGUUUUGUGGCGAGCUUAACCGAGUAGGGGAGGCGUAGCGAAAGCGAGUUCGAAUAGAGCGAGAAGUCUCAAGGCGUAGACCCGAAACCAGAUGAGCUAUCCAUGGCCAGGUUGAAGGUGUGGUAACACACACUGGAGGACCGAACCGACUAGUGUUGCAAAAUUAGCGGAUGAGCUGUGGAUAGGGGUGAAAGGCUUAACAAAUCUGGAGAUAGCUGGUUCUCCCCGAAAACUAUUGAGGUAGUGCCUCGUGUAUUGCUCCAGGGGGUAGAGCACUGUUAUGGCUAGGGGGACAUGGCGUCUUACCAAACCAUGGCAAACUCCGAAUACUUGGAAGUAAGAGCACGGGAGACAGAGCACCGGGUGCUAACGUCCGGACUCAAGAGGGAAACAACCCAGACCGCCGUUUAAGGUCCCAAAUAUUGACUAAGUGGAAAACGAAGUGUGAAGGCUAAGACAGUCAGGAAGUUGGCUUAGAAGCAGCCAUCCUUCAAAGAAAGCGUAAUAGCUCACUGAUCGAGUCCUCAUGCGCGGAAGAUGUAACGGGGCUAAGUCAAUAACCGAAAGCGCGGAUUUGCACGAUGAGUGCAAGUGGUAGGGGAGCGUUCUGUAAGCCUGCGAAGGUGGUUCGAGAGGACUGCUGGAGGUAUCAGAAGUGCGAAUGCUGACAUGAGUAACGUUAAAGCGGGUGAAAAGCCCGCUCGCCGUAAGCCCAAGGUUUCCUGCUCUACGUUCAUCGGAGCAGGGUGAGUCGGCCCCUAAGGCCAGGCUGAGAAGCGUAGUCGAUGGGAAGCAGAUUAAUAUUUCUGCACCAUGUGCAAGUGCGAUGGGGGGACGGAGUGCGAAAGAUCAUCCGGGUGUUGGAUGUCCCGGUUUGUGAGUGUAGAAGGCCGACAGGCAAAUCCGUCGGCGGAUCUUCGAGACAAAGCAUCGAGGUUCUACGGAACCGAAGUGAUCGGAAGUGCUUCCAGGAAAAGCCUCUAAGCUCCAGCUUGCAUGUGACCGUACCGUAAACCGACACUGGUGGGCGAGUUGAAUAUACUCAGGCGCUUGAGAGAACUCGGGAGAAGGAACUCGGCAAAUUGACACCGUAACUUCGGGAUAAGGUGUGCCUUUGUAGCGUGAAGAGAGAAACACUCGGAGCGUGAAGAGGCCUCAGAGAAUCGGUGGCUGCAACUGUUUAUUAAAAACACAGCACUCUGCAAAGACGAAAGUCGACGUAUAGGGUGUGAUGCCUGCCCGGUGCUGGAAGAUUAAGUGAUGGGGUGAGAGCUCCUGAUCGAAGUCCCAGUAAACGGCGGCCGUAACUAUAACGGUCCUAAGGUAGCGAAAUUCCUUGUC